rnacentral:rRNA from 1 species
ACAGGAAGAAGCUUGCUUCUUUGCUGACGAGUGGCGGACGGGUGAGUAAUGUCUGGGAAACUGCCUGAUGGAGGGGGAUAACUACUGGAAACGGUAGCUAAUACCGCAUAACGUCGCAAGACCAAAGAGGGGGACCUUCGGGCCUCUUGCCAUCGGAUGUGCCCAGAUGGGAUUAGCUAGUAGGUGGGGUAACGGCUCACCUAGGCGACGAUCCCUAGCUGGUCUGAGAGGAUGACCAGCCACACUGGAACUGAGACACGGUCCAGACUCCUACGGGAGGCAGCAGUGGGGAAUAUUGCACAAUGGGCGCAAGCCUGAUGCAGCCAUGCCGCGUGUAUGAAGAAGGCCUUCGGGUUGUAAAGUACUUUCAGCGGGGAGGAAGGGAGUAAAGUUAAUACCUUUGCUCAUUGACGUUACCCGCAGAAGAAGCACCGGCUAACUCCGUGCCAGCAGCCGCGGUAAUACGGAGGGUGCAAGCGUUAAUCGGAAUUACUGGGCGUAAAGCGCACGCAGGCGGUUUGUUAAGUCAGAUGUGAAAUCCCCGGGCUCAACCUGGGAACUGCAUCUGAUACUGGCAAGCUUGAGUCUCGUAGAGGGGGGUAGAAUUCCAGGUGUAGCGGUGAAAUGCGUAGAGAUCUGGAGG